GUGGGGAAUAUUGGGCAAUGGGCGAAAGCCUGACGCAGCAACGCCGCGUGAAGGAAGAAGGUUUUCGGAUCGUAAACUUCUAUCCUUGGUGAAGAUAAUGACGGUAGCCAAGAAGGAAGCCCCGGCUAACUACGUGCCAGCAGCCGCGGUAAUACGUAGGGGGCAAGCGUUGUCCGGAAUGAUUGGGCGUAAAGGGCGCGUAGGCGGCCCGGUAAGUCUGAAGUGAAAGUCCUGCUUUUAAGGUGGGAAUUGCUUUGGAUACUGUCGGGCUUGAGUGCAGGAGAGGUAAGCGGAAUUCCCGGUGUAGCGGUGAAAUGCGUAGAGAUCGGGAGGAACACCAGUGGCGAAGGCGGCUUACUGGACUGUAACUGACGCUGAGGCGCGAAAGUGUGGGGAGCAAACAGGAUUAGAAACCCCAGUAGUCC
rnacentral:rRNA from 1 species